GACGAACGCUGGCGGCGUGCUUAACACAUGCAAGCCGAGCGGUAAGGCCCCUUCGGGGGUACACGAGCGGCGAACGGGUGAGUAACACGUGAGCAAUCUGCCCUUCACACGGGGAUAACUUCGGGAAACCGGAGCUAAUACCCGAUCCGACCACCUCGGGCAUCCGAUGGUGGUGGAAAGCUCCGGCGGUGAAGGAUGAGCUCGCGGCCUAGCAGCUUGUUGGUGGGGUAACGGCCCACCAAGGCAACGACGGGUAGCCGGCCUGGGAGGGUGACCGGCCACACUGGGACUGAGACACGGCCCAGACUCCUACGGGAGGCAGCAGUGGGGAAUAUUGGACAAUGGGCGAAAGCCUGAUCCAGCAACGCCGCGUGAGGGAUGACGGCCUUCGGGUUGUAAACCUCUUUCAGCAGGGACGAAGCGCAAGUGACGGUACCUGCAGAAGAAGCACCGGCCAACUACGUGCCAGCCGCCGCCGUAA
rnacentral:rRNA from 1 species